rnacentral:lncRNA from 1 species
AAUUAGUUAGAAAGAUUCAAAAGAGUUAUUUAAUGAAUACGACUAAACAUUUAUGAGAUGAUGACAAAUUUAAGCCACUUAUGUUGCUGUUAUUCUAUUUUAUGAACAGUGUUGAAAUCCAGUACACAAUAUUUAAUUUCAUCUGCUGGGCUUUGUUGGUUGAUGCAGGGGGACGCUGCUCUGCUGGACUCACUCCAUUCCCAGUGUCCUUUGCCUUGUUACCAAUGGGAGGAGAACUGGCUUUAGUGAAGGCUGGAACUCUCCAACUCACUCACUCAGCCAUCGUUCCUUAUCUGACACCCCAGAAGUCUGAUACCAGAAAUAUGAUUAAGUCUGAGUCAGAAAUAGCAGUUCUUGGCCAGGUGAAGUGGCUCACGCCUGUAAUCCCAGCACUUUGUGAGGCCGAGGCAGGUGGAUCACGAGGUCAGGAGUUCAAGACUAGCCUGGGCAAGAUGGUGAAACCCCUUCUCUACUAAAAAUACAAAAAUUAGCCAGGCAUGUUGGUGGGUGCCUUGUAAUCCCAGCUACUCAGGAGGUGGAGGCAAAGAAUUGCUUGAACUUGGGAGGCGGAGGUUGCAGUGAGCCGAGAUCCCACCACUGCACUCCAGCCUGGGUGACGGAGUGAGACUUUGUCUCAAAAAAAAAAAAAAAAAGAAAUAGCAGCUGUUUUGUAUCCACUGGUGCCUUUCUCACAGUAAUAUUUUCCAAGUGCCAGUCAAGACCUUGCCCUUUUUCACAUCCACUGUUUGCAAAAGUGCAAAGGCAACUGCUUCUGAUCUAAACACAUUCACCUGCCAGAGUUUACAUCACGGUUAACAAGGACAAAAUCUUUCUCUGCACCCUGAAAGACGCGUGGCCAAACUUUCAUUCUAGGAAAACCAGCUGACUCCAGACUGGGGGCUGAGUCAUAAGCUCCAGCCUCUUCUCUUUGUGAGAUAAACUUGAAAACUUAUAUUAUGAACAUUUUACAUACUAGUGGAUGUGUAAGCUUUUCCAGGGCAAACAUCACCAACUCUCCACAGAGUUAAGAGUUUCAAUGAUUAAUGCAAGUACCUUUCAUCAGAAACCUCUUGGAAGAGGUGCUUCCAAAAAUCAAGGAAACCACAACUCAAUCCAUUAGUGGUUCUGACUUUUAGAGUGUAAGGGUCAAUGACGUACCACCUAAAAUGAAGACAUAGACACCCUUGCCAUUAAGUUCUUCAUUGAAAAUUCAAUCUAAACUCGUCACUAAUUGAGAUUAACCAGACACAUUAUUGGCAGGAGAAAAGCAGGCAGAAAAAAUGAAGAAAUAUAUAUUGAAGGCUAUUAUAUGUAUUUUUAUCAUUUAAUUCUCAUGACGAUCCUGUAAGACUGAUAUUAUUUUUCUACUUUGCCAAUGAGCC